UCUUUCUCGAUUCCGUGGGUGGUGGUGCAUGGCCGUUCUUAGUUGGUGGAGCGAUUUGUCUGGUUAAUUCCGAUAACGAACGAGACUCUGGCAUGCUAACUAGUUACGCGACCCCCGAGCGGUCGGCGUCCCCCAACUUCUUAGAGGGACAAGUGGCGUUCAGCCACCCGAGAUUGAGCAAUAACAGGUCUGUGAUGCCCUUAGAUGUCCGGGGCUGCACGCGCGCUACACUGACUGGCUCAGCGUGUGCCUACCCUACGCCGGCAGGCGCGGGUAACCCGUUGAACCCCAUUCGUGAUGGGGAUCGGGGAUUGCAAUUAUUCCCCAUGAAC
rnacentral:rRNA from 1 species